rnacentral:lncRNA from 1 species
AGUUGCAAAGCUUCCGGUUCUGGGGGAAGGCGUGGCUUCCGCGCUCUUUGAAAUGUCCGGCGCCGGAAUGUCUGGGUGCUUUGGUUGGAGAGGGUCCCAUUUCCAGUCAUUCUUCAGCCUGGUGAUUCCCGCGCUCCCCUGAGGAGCAUAUGAAGUACGUCGGUUCUGCCAGGUUGGAACGCGCUGCUGGACACUCGGCCGUAAGGCGGAUCCCGGAUCCCCUCCCACUCCGACCCUUCCCUCCAGAAGGGCCGGUUCCCAAACGGCCCCUUUAGACACAUCCAAGCGGUUGCCGACGGCCCUCACGAUGAAAACUGCUGUCCGUUGGUGAAGGCAGCCUCUUCUGUGCUCCUCGCCGCUGACUUCCUGAGGCGGACCUACCUGUGGAGGCAUACCAGGAACCAGACGAUGACCCCCUCCAAAAGUUGGGUCUUUGAGGAGAGCUACUAACUUGGGUUCCUGGUACACCCUCUACAUGCAGUGGUGAAGCUUAUCUAACAGUCAUUCAUAGAAUCAGUUUGGGAAGGGGAAUUUUCACUGAACUCUCAUAGAGAAACUGUGUUUUAGAUAACAGAAAGUUCUGCACGGUUAAAAUGGAACAGAAAUUUUUUUGCACAGAAAUUAGGAUUACCGAAAAUACUGAAGAAAGACUACCUCUGAUUGGACUCUUCUCAAGGAAUUAAUAAUUCAAGAACUAAGGAAAGAAAAAAGUGAUUAUAUGAAAAUACUGAAGUUGAUCGUAGCAGCUGAAGGCUGAUCCUGUGUGGGUAAAUGUAAACGCUGAAUUCCCACAUUCCAAUGUGCGACCUGGGAUUAAGGCAGCAAUUGAGCAGGGCUGAAGUACAUUGGUGCAAUCUUGGCUCACUGCAUCUCCACCCCAGGUUCAAGCGAUUCUCCUGCCUCAGCCUCCCAAGCAGCUGGGAUUACAGAAUGUCACAUAAAUGGAAUCAUACUGUGUCCGGAAUUGGUGGGUUCUUGGUCUCACUGACUUCAAGAAUGACGCCAUGGGCCCUCGCGGUGAGUGUUACAGCUCUUAAGGUGGCGCGUCUGGAGUUUGUUCCUUCUGAUGUUCGGAUGUGUUCGGAGUUUCUUCCUUCUGGUGGGUUCGUGGUCUCGCUGGCUCAGGAGUGAAGCUGCAGACUUUCGCGGGCUGGCCGACUGCUCCGAGUGCGGGGCCGCCAAGCCCACGCCCACCCGGAACUCCAGCUGGCCCGCAAGCGCCUCACGCAGCCCCGGUUCCCGCUCGCGCCUCUCCCUCCACACCUCCCUGCAAGCUGAGGGAGUGGGCUCCAGCCUUGGCCAGCCCAGAAAGGGGCUCCCACAGUGCAGUGGUGGGCUGAAGGGCUCCUCAAGUGCCGCCAAACUGGGAGCCCAGGCAGAGGAGGUGCCGAGAGCAAGCGAGGGCUCUGAGGACUGCCAGCACGCUGUCACCUCUCAAUACAAUUUCAUCUCUCUCUCUGCUAUGGACACAGAUGGCUUCACUCCAUCCUGUAUUCUUCGGACCAUGAUAAAAUUCCAGACUCUCGGUAGUUUUUGCGUUCCAAGAAGUAGAGCCUAGAGUGGUGGCCUAUAAUUACAGUUACUCAGGAGGCUGAGGCAGGAGGAUCCUUUGAGUCCAGCAGUUUGAGGCCAGCCUGGACACCACAGCAAGACCACCAAUAAAUAAAUAAAUAAAUGGAACAUGAAAAAA